GUAUAUGUAGGUGCUGAUUUUAAAUAAAACCGACAUCUAUGCUGUGAGUACCAUUUUUUAGAAGAAUCAAUAGCUAUAAUAUAUUUAUAGGUCUAGGUUUUUAAAAAUCGACACAUAUACUAAUAUUGUAGUUGCUGGUUUUAAAAAAACUAGCAGGAGCUGACCGAAUCCAACUAACCUUAUCUACUCCCAGACAUCCUUAUCCCCACACUUGCUCCCACUCCUUCCUCCUCCUCCAUACCGCCUCCAACGCGCCUCGUUGGCCUCAUCGUCGCGGCCCUCCUCUUCCCUCUCCCUCUCGCAUCUCCCCCGCGCAGCGGUGGCUGUGGCUCCCUAGCGGCGUGACGGCUCGUGAUCUGGCCCUCGAGCUCAGGACCUCCACAACGGCGAGGAGAAGGUCUAGAGAGGAGCAGCGGCGGCCUCCCCGCUCUCCCCUCCCACCCCUCUCAUCUCAUGAUGAUCUGUUGAGUUCUAGGCUUAAGAAGCUGCUUCCCGGCUUUAUUUAUCCACCCACAAGAUGAAUACGUGCUCCCUUGAAGAUACGGUGAUCAUGGUGAAGAGACACGUCUCGCUGCCGUGGAGAAAUUGAAUGUUAGCGGUACGGUGCAGGUAUGUGCCGAGUUUCUGAUAAAACAGUAGUAUAUGCAUAAGUGUGACACCUCAAGCAAACAACACUAUCUGUUCAGCUGAGUGGAGCAACUGAACUUAACCUGCUACCUGCUCACUAGUAGAAAAAGACAGUGGCUUUCAGACGUGUACAGGAUCUCACGUGCAUGAAUUGAUGAAUACUGCAUAUAGACAUGUAACUGGUAUCUCCCAUAACAAAUCAAUCUUGGCGCUAUUUCGUUCAUCAUCAUUCGUUUGUCAUGUUCCCUUGGGAGUGGCAGCAUCGAUUUAGUAAGAAAACAUCUCUGUUGUGCUUCUACAGAACUCCAUAUGGAAGCUAAUAAACAGUAUACUGAUACAUGAAAAUUAGAUGGAAGAUAGAAUUCAGAUAAUCGUAUGUACCACUCUGAUACCUGAUAGAAUCAGGAAGACACCAUCGAUAACGUUUAUAAACUGCGUCCUAUUUUAGUAUAAUCAUGUUCAUAAACCAAAUGGCAUGACACUCUGACAGUAACAGAUGAACUUCUUCUGACUGUUUGGAGUUCUCUCACGAAUUGACCAUGGAAAAGUAUCACAAAUUACACCCUUUAACUUACAUCAACAGCAGUUUUAGUAGCUGCCUGCCUCUAUGCAAAUUGCUAAAUUUGGCUAUGGCAUCGUAACUUCCAAAGAACGUUGCAAACAAGAAC